ACAGUUUACAUGGUAUGUUGUGGAUUCUCUCUCUCUCUCUCUCUCUCUCUCUCUCUCUCUCUCUCUCUCUCUCUCUCUCUCUCUCUCCUCUCUCUCUAGGAUUUGAAUUGAAUACAGUGGCACUUUACUAAUGAGCCUCUUUCAGACAGGGUCUCACUCACUGGCCUUUAACCUGUGAUCCUCCUGCCUCAGCUUCCCUAGUAAACGUGUUUUUAAAAGAUAAUUAAUUAGGGCUGGGGUGUAAGUCAGUGGUAGAGCACUUGCCUACUAUGCAUGAGCCCCUGGAUUUCAUUCGCAGCCGAGAGAGAGAGAGAGAGAGAGAGAGAGAGAGAGAGAGAGAGGGGGGAGGGAGAGGAUUCAACAACAGUAACAAGACUGU
rnacentral:sRNA from 1 species